AUUGAACGCUGGCGGCAGGCCUAACACAUGCAAGUCGAGCGCGCGGCGGACGGGUGAGUAAUGUCGGGGACACUGCCCGAGGGAGGGGGAUAACUACUGGAAACGGUAGCUAAUACCGCAUACCAUCGGAUGUGCACAGAUGGGAUUAGCUAGUAGGGGGGGUAACGGCUCACCUAGGCGACGAUCCCUAGCUGGUCUGAGAGGAUGCCCAGCCACACUGGAACUGAGACACGGUCCAGACUCCGACGGGAGGCAGCAGUGGGGAAUAGUGCACAAGGGGCGCAAGCCUGAUGCAGCCAUGCCGCGUGUAUGAAGAAGGCCUUCGGGUUGUAAAGUACUUUCAGCGAGGAGGCGUUACUCGCAGAAGAAGCACCGGCUAACUCCGUGCCAGCAGCCGCGGUAAUAC
rnacentral:rRNA from 1 species